AAGUCGUAACAAGGUUUCCGUAGGUGAACCUGCGGAAGGAUCAUUAUCAAUUACUUGUGACUGCUUCUUUUUUGAGAAGUGGUUGUAUGUUUUUGUGCACUGUUUCUUUUUGGUUAUUUUUCUUUCUGAGAGAAAUAAUCAAAGAUGAAAAUUUGAUUUUCUUAUUAUUAUUUUUCUUAUUUACUUGUAACUUUUGUUAUAAAUAAUUAAAAAAAAGACAACUUUCAGCAAUGGAUCUCUUGGCUCUU
rnacentral:misc_RNA from 1 species